rnacentral:rRNA from 1 species
AACGAACGCUGGCGGCAUGCCUAACACAUGCAAGUCGAACGAACCCUUCGGGGUUAGUGGCGCACGGGUGCGUAACGCGUGGGAAUCUGCCCUUGGCUUCGGAAUAACAGUUAGAAAUGACUGCUAAUACCGGAUGAUGUCUUCGGACCAAAGAUUUAUCGGCCAGGGAUGAGCCCGCGUAGGAUUAGGUAGUUGGUGAGGUAAAGGCUCACCAAGCCGACGAUCCUUAGCUGGUCUGAGAGGAUGAUCAGCCACACUGGGACUGAGACACGGCCCAGACUCCUACGGGAGGCAGCAGUGGGGAAUAUUGGACAAUGGGCGCAAGCCUGAUCCAGCAAUGCCGCGUGAGUGAUGAAGGCCUUCGGGUCGUAAAGCUCUUUUACCAGGGAUGAUAAUAACAGUACCUGGAGAAUAAGCUCCGGCUAACUCCGUGCCAGCAGCCGCCGCGG